AUCCAGCUGAAGAGUCCCGACUAGGAUGAAACGCGCUUCCUGGAU
rfam:Schistosoma mattheei strain Denwood, Zambia genome assembly, scaffold: SMTD_scaffold0000550